CGUCCUUAGCUCAGUCGGCAGAGCGUAACCAUGCCAUGGUUAAGGUAGCGAGUUCGAUUCUCGUCUU
rnacentral:tRNA from 1 species